CUGUACAAAUAAGUGCCUGAUGGUUCCCUUUGCUAACCCCUUGGAGGAGGGAAAAUUUUUAAAUUUACAAGGAAAGCUUGUAAACCUGGGAGCCAGACCUGGGCAAGUACAGGUGUUUAAGGAGCACUUUGUAUCAGUUUAUGGCAGUUAUGUGCUAAGAGCCAUAGCCAAGUAGUAAUGAUGCAUGGCAUUUUUGGUUGAAAGGUGACACCAGCAAGCCAUUGAGAUGAUAUGAUUAUGUUAAGAUCUGCAUUCAAAUGGAUAUUAGCCCCCUGCUGUCCACCUCGGCCUGCUACGGGACUCCUGGAGAGUUCCCAUUGGUUGGGGAAGUGCGGUAGGAGGGAAUUCCGGAGGAGGGAUUUCCUGUUGGUGUGUGUGUGUGGGAGAACGCCCGCGUGUGUGGGUCGGCAUAUUUCCCGGGAGCAUACAGGGCAUUGGCGGGAGUUUCAAAAAUAAAAUUUGUUCCUGUUUGAGUGGCUCGUGAUUUUUGUGCCCAGCCAGACUACCACAGUUAUGUAUUCUAAAUGUGUCUUAUUCUUUCUAUACCCUCAAAGUACAAACAUAUAGACCUGGUCUGGUACACUUGCCCAGGGAACACUAUUGCAGACUAUUAACACAGGAUCUUAUGGUAGUCUGUAUUCUGCCUUAUAGAGCUGAUUUGCCAUUAUUGGUGCCUAAUAAACAUUUGUCAUCUUUUUGUUGGGUUAGCAAUGAGUAACCUAUUCCUGGAUUGGGCAAUGGAGGUGCAGGAAUUGUUCCAACUAACUGGUUGCUGGAUCUUCUCAGCAGGACAUUGCACACUGGGUAGCUCAACCUGCAAAUGAGACAGAAUGGACUUGACUGAAAUGCAACUGUUUUGAAACUUCUCAAACACUGAAAUGGCCAUCAAAUAAUAAGUCUAAACAAAAGAUUUUUGCUUUGAUUAG
rnacentral:lncRNA from 1 species